CGAUCUCAUCCCUGGAGUGCACUGCACCGUUAGAUGGCGGUGUUAAGAGGAGACGAAGACCACGACAGGGUAAAAUUUGGCUCAGCAAUUUAGAAGGGCCUCUUUCAAGUCGGGUCUCGUUCAGAACCGAGCGAAAUAUUGAUCGUAUGGAAGUUUAAUGGUGAUCACCAUAAUCAAUGCAGAGAAUGAGUGUUGGAUCUCAAGGAGUUAGGGUUCGAUCGUAGAGACUUAUACCUACAUUUGGAGAUGAUUUUUGGAUUGAAGACUUCACAUAUUAUUGCUUGAAGCUGGAGGUUGGUUGUCUGAGGGCACCCAAGGGUGUGCAGAGUUAGCCGCAUCGCGUUUGGGGCUCUGAUCUUCACGAUAAAGUGGGUAUUCCGGUCUGUGAGUAUGAGAGGAGGCCGUAAUGUUGAGUCUACGAGCGUUUCGCUCGACAAAGGAUAAAUUGAUGAAAUAAUUGCUGCACCUGUGACAAUGUUGUGACAUGGGACUGGGAGCAUCGCCGGUUUCGUCCCUUGCAAUCACUUGUGGCUCUAAAUUUACGAUGUAUCUUCGCGAUGAAUUGAGGGGGGACAAUACCGAAAAAAAUAAUGGCAUUGGUUCAUUUCUGGGUGGAGUUGAAACUAAGCUUGAAAUGCUGGUGGAUUAAUGCAAUAAUGUGGUGGUGUACGAGGUGAAUGUGAAGGGUGUCGAUGAACGUCGUUUGGUUGGUGUGGAGCUCCAGAAGCUUGUGCUACUUCUUCCUUCUCCUCGUAGCUGUUCGCCUCGUGUAUAUUUUUAGGAACAAGUGGAAGGUUUGGUAUAAUUGCUAUUUAGGUGACAUUGUCUUCUGAUGUUGAACAAGAGUUUAUUUCAAGUUGUGGAGUUCUAAGACAUAUGAGUAAUGAGAGUAGCAAAAUGAUAAUAAUGUGUCCAUGUUUUUCAUUUGGGUUUUGUUGGCUAAUUGCAGAAACUGAAUCGAAAUCAGGUCCUCCAGAUACUGAGAUCUUAUAAUAUACUUCAACUGUUCUGUUGCAGUGUGGUGUUUCUGCCACAUGAGGGGGAUGUAGAGCGGCCACUCGCUGCGUUUGGCUGUUGAGAUGGAGUUAUCAGGGUUAUUUCCAUGACGUUGUGGCAGGUUCUCGCAGUUUUCGUCCUACUAUCUAAUUUACUUUUUCUCUACUCAUUUUUAAUCAAUGAAUCAAUUAAGCCCACUUUUGCAACGACAGAGUCAUUCAAAUUACAAUUGUUGUCAGAGUAGAUCUGCUAUGCCGUGCUUAAGCCUUUUGAAUCUUUGUGACAUAUUAUGCGGCGAUACAUUAGUGGUCACUAAGACCCUGUUUAGUGCUUACUAACAUUUCAGACUUCAUCUGGCGAGGAACCUUCUUUGUCUAUUUUUAAAAUAAUAAAUCUAGAGAUAUUUUUUCUUGUG